rnacentral:rRNA from 1 species
AGCCGCUCAGAACUUAAAGGAAUUGACGGGGCCGCACAAGCGGUGGAGCAUGUGGUUUAAUUCGAUGAUACGCGAGGAACCUUACCUGGGCUCAAAUGUAUGUUGACGUAUUCUGAAAGGGAUACUUCUUCGGACAAUAUACAAGGUGCUGCAUGGUUGUCGUCAGCUCGUGCCGUGAGGUGUCGGGUUAAGUCCCAUAACGAGCGCAACCCCUAUCAUUAGUUGCCAUCAGGUCAAGCUGGGGACUCUAAUGAAACUGCCUACGCAAGUAGUGAGGAAGGUGGGGAUGACGUCAAAUCAGCACGGCCCUUACGUCCGGGGCGACACACGUGUUACAAUGGGUGGUACAAAGGGCAGCUACCUGGCGACAGGAUGCUAAUCUCCAAAACCACUCUCAGUUCGGAUCGGAGUCUGCAACUCGACUCCGUGAAGCUGGAUUCGCUAGUAAUCGCGCAUCAGCCACGGCGCGGUGAAUACGUUCCCGGGCCUU